AUCUCUCAGGUAUGAGAACGAGCUGGCCAUGCGUCAGUCAGUGGAGGCGGACAUCGCCGGGCUGAAGAGGAUGCUGGAUGAGAUGACCAUGGCCAGAUCUGACCUGGAGAUGCAGAUCGAGGGACUGAAGGAGGAGCUCAUCUAUCUCAAGAAGAACUAUGAGGAGGAGCUGCUGGCCAUGAGGACAGAUCAACGUGGAGGUGGACGCAGCACCACAGGAGGACCUGACAAGAGUCAUGUCUGAGAUCCUUGAGCAAUACGAGACCGUUAGUGCCAAGAACCAGCGUGACCUGGAGUCCUGGUUCCAGACCAAGACAGAGACGUUGAACCAGGAGGUGGCGUCCAGCACAGAGGUUCUCCAGAUCUCCAAGUCAGAGAUUUUCGGAGAUCCGUCACACACUGCAGGGCCUGGAAAUUGAACUGCAGUCACAGCUCAGCAUGCCUCUUUCUCAGCUCCUCGAAAUCCGGCCACAGCUCCGGCCUCAGCUCCUGUCUCACCUUCGGCCUCAGCUCCUCCAGCUCUAGCCUCAGCUCCAGCCUCAGCUCCUGUAGCUCCGGCCCCAGCUCCUCGAGCUCCACCACACGCAUGGUGGUGAUCGUCACAGAGGAAAUGGUGGAUGGCAAGGGGCAAGCAAUGGGUUAACCCCAUGGAAUUAUAAUAUCGGCUGAGUAACGUAAAAUAUUCCAGUCAGAGCUAGCAAAGCAGUCUUGUAGCUUAGUCUCCGAUUCGGAGGACCAUUUCUCUGUGGAGCAUGUCACAGGCACUUCCUGUUUGACCUUGUAUACAGGAAGUAGGAGUAUAGGGUCAUGAUCUGAUUUGCCAAUGUGGGGACGAGGAAGGGCCUGGUAUGCUUGCUUGUGGAUAGAGUAACAGUGGUCUAGGACUUUAUCACCCCAACUGGAGAAGGAGACGUGUUGAUGGAAAAAACAUCCCAGAUACAGGUUUCUAUGAAUAUAUUAAUGAUCAAUACCAAUCAUUAAAAACAACAUACAGACAGAACAUUUUAUUUUUGAGGUUGCAAAGGCUAAUGGUGAAGACAAGGAAGUGUAUAAAAGAAAAGGGUUAUUAUGGACCACAUGAACCUCUUCCCC